CUACUACUACUACAAAGUAUUGCUUGCUUGCAUUAGCUACAAAGAUUUCGGCUCAUUAUUUCCUUUCUGAACAAAUCAAGUGCCGCAGCCAUUUGCCCAAAAAUAUUAACCAAUGAUAAUAAGAUUUUCUGCUUGUAACUAAUUACAGUUUCUGAGCAAACUUAAGUGAACGGUGAAAUCAACCAAAAACAAAUAACCAGCCUAAUUAGGAAUUGAUUUUAAAGUAAACGUGUUAAACUCAAACAAGCUGCUCUGUGAACGUUGACGUACUGAAAAUUUUAAUACCGACUACAACAAUAUCAAUAUGCCAAUAAGUUUAAAUUGUAAUAUAAGUAUGAGUGUAUAAAAGUUAAAAACCCCGGUGAGAGCAAUUUUUGAAAUAUUUAACAUUACGAUGAUGGGCAAAUGAACUCACAUAUACUGUAAAAUAAUUGGAAAACAAAAAAACAUAGUGAAUAUUAAGUGAAUAAAAUUUUCUGGUAUUUGCUAGUUCUGCUUUUUAGAGAGCUUUACGCAUAUUAUAUUAUAAAUAUAUAAGUUUGCCCAAUAUAAAAAAUUCCACCGCAUAGUAUGGCCUCGGUCGCCGCUUGGCUGCCAUUUGCACGGGCGGCGGCCAUCGGUUGGGUACCAAUCGCCACACACCCACUACCGGCACCACCUAUACCAAAAGAUCGACGUAAAACUGACGACGAAAAACUUUUGAUCAAUGUUUCGGGUCGUCGCUUUGAAACAUGGCGCAAUACAUUAGAGAAGUAUCCAGAUACAUUAUUGGGUUCGAACGAACGUGAGUUUUUCUACGACGAGGAUUGUAAGGAAUACUUCUUUGAUAGAGAUCCAGACAUAUUUCGGCAUAUAUUAAACUAUUAUCGUACGGGAAAGCUCCAUUACCCCAAGCACGAAUGCCUCACAAGCUACGAUGAAGAGUUGGCUUUCUUUGGUAUAAUGCCCGAUGUAAUUGGUGACUGUUGUUAUGAAGAUUAUAGGGAUCGGAAACGUGAAAAUGCUGAACGUUUAAUGGAUGAUAAAUUAUCGGAGAAUGGCGAUCAAAAUCUACAACAAUUAACGAAUAUACGACAAAAAAUGUGGCGAGCAUUUGAAAAUCCACACACAUCUACCGCAGCAUUAGUAUUUUACUAUGUAACUGGAUUUUUUAUCGCCGUAUCUGUGAUGGCAAAUGUAGUUGAAACAGUACCCUGUGGCCAUAGACCAGGACGUGCUGGUACACUGCCAUGUGGCGAGCGUUAUAAAAUUGUGUUUUUCUGCUUAGACACCGCCUGCGUUAUGAUAUUUACCGCUGAAUACUUGUUACGCCUAUUUGCUGCACCUGAUCGCUGCAAAUUUGUACGCAGCGUUAUGAGUAUUAUUGAUGUUGUUGCUAUACUGCCAUAUUAUAUUGGGUUAGGGAUCACGGAUAACGAUGAUGUUAGCGGUGCCUUUGUGACUUUAAGAGUCUUCCGAGUAUUUCGCAUAUUUAAGUUUUCACGUCAUUCUCAAGGACUGCGUAUACUUGGUUACACACUAAAAUCGUGUGCAUCCGAAUUGGGAUUUCUGGUAUUUUCACUAGCAAUGGCUAUUAUUAUAUUUGCGACAGUUAUGUUCUAUGCUGAGAAGAAUGUUCAUGGCACCAACUUUACGUCUAUUCCGGCAGCUUUUUGGUAUACUAUUGUCACUAUGACAACGCUUGGCUACGGUGACAUGGUGCCCGAAACAAUAGCUGGUAAAAUUGUUGGAGGAGUCUGCUCUCUCAGUGGAGUACUUGUAAUUGCUCUUCCUGUACCAGUUAUUGUUUCAAACUUUAGCAGAAUAUAUCAUCAGAACCAGAGGGCAGAUAAACGUAAAGCACAGAGGAAAGCACGGUUGGCUCGAAUACGAAUUGCCAAGGCCUCAUCUGGAGCUGCAUUCGUUAGUAAGAAAAAAGCUGCGGAGGCUCGCUGGGCGGCACAAGAGUCUGGAAUCGAGUUGGACGAUAACUACCGCGAUGAAGACAUAUUUGAACUGCAGCAUCAUCAUCUCUUGCGAUGCCUCGAGAAAACAACUAGAUAGGAUGAUAUCCACUUGGAUUACGCUGAAAUCCAAGAAAAUCUAAUGCUUAUGUGUGUAACCCUGUGCAGUCAUCAUUUCCACCAAGAGAUGUCGCUGCAUUCAAAACAAGUAUAACCAGUAUACAUGACUCGACUUAUUUAUGGGAAAGAUGCAGUUAUGUCCGUUUUGGAUUUCCACCUUCUGUGGAAUCUUUAAAAGGCCGUAGUUGCCGGUCUAACGUCCUCUUUUUGAUUUCAGCUUUGAACGCAGCAACAUCCGAGAAUUACGAAAUGGUUCCAGUCAACCACGUCAAUACCCCGAAGGACCAACACCGAUGUCCAGUCUACAAGAACAACCAUCGGCUUCUAUUUUGCAGACAGAUGCGCCGGAUGCGCAACGGAGAGACUCCGAGCUGUCCUCCUUUACCGUCACUGUGCCAACUGCCUGUCGCCGCAUUACAUGGCCAGCAGAUGUCCGUCGACAAGGACAUGUGACCGAUGCCACGAACGGCACCACAGUCUCCUCCACCUGCGGGAAAUGGAGGAAGACGUGCCUUUCAGCUAGGGUGCGGCAGACGGUCAGCACAGGAGACAACACUGUCCAUAUCGAACGCAGCCGUUGACUGACUCCAGCGAUGAAGAAGUGUUAGAAAUAGAUGCCAGCAGCGAAGAUCUGGUAGAAAUAAUAGAACCAGCUCCCAGUCACAAUGAGCCGCUGCUGUCGAGUGUGCGGUCAGUAAUUCAGCGGCCAAUCCAGCCCUCUAAUAAACAACGGCAGCGACAACAGCGAAGUCGUAACAAACAACCACGACGGCGCCAAAGGGUGAGAGACGCACGGGAGCAAAUUAAAACCCCCGUUCGGAGAACAAACGGAACUGUCCUCACGCCGACAGUAAUGGUGAGAGUGGCAACGAACGGGCGGACGCAAAGGGUCCGUGCUCUUAUCGAUCCUGGGCAACCAGCAUCCUGUAUUUCAAAGGCUCUAGCCAGACGACUUCAGGUGUCAUCAAGAGAUCACAGCGAUCGAGUAACGCUUACCUUGAAGGGCUGGCGCGAAAGCGUGCACAUCAGGGCAAGAGUGCUGCCCAGCCUCAUCAAACCGACGCCAGAACGCACGCUGGACGCCAGAGUUGUCGACGAAUUCGACAACCUGAGAUUGGCCGACCCGUCCUUCUAUCGGAGAAGUACGGUAUCUUUUAUUUUAGGUGCUGAUAUCUACGAAGCAAUCUUAAGACCAGGAUUAAUGCCUGCAACGCCAACCAGGCCAGCCGCACAGAACACGCUGUUUGGAUGGGUGAUAUCCGGCAGUACACCAUAUUGAGGCGUAGGAAACAAUCGUUUUUAGUGCUAAGCCAAUUGAAAUGAGAUUAAUUUUGUUGAUGAAUUGUAACCAAUGAAUUAUGAAUUAUAGUUUGAAUCUUUACAAAAAAAAAAA